GAGUCUGUGGCCCAACGGCUAAGGCGUCUGACUACGGAUCAGGAGAUUGCGGGUUCAAAUCCCGUCAGACUCG
rfam:Anncaliia algerae PRA109 cont4.1014, whole genome shotgun sequence.